AUUGAACGCUGGCGGCAGGCCUAACACAUGCAAGUCGAGCGGAUGAAGGGAGCUUGCUCCUGGAUUCAGCGGCGGACGGGUGAGUAAUGCCUAGGAAUCUGCCUGGUAGUGGGGGAUAACGUCCGGAAACGGGCGCUAAUACCGCAUACGUCCUGAGGGAGAAAGUGGGGGAUCUUCGGACCUCACGCUAUCAGAUGAGCCUAGGUCGGAUUAGCUAGUUGGUGGGGUAAAGGCCUACCAAGGCGACGAUCCGUAACUGGUCUGAGAGGAUGAUCAGUCACACUGGAACUGAGACACGGCCCAGACUCCUACGGGAGGCAGCAGUGGGGAAUAUUGGACAAUGGGCGAAAGCCUGAUCCAGCCAUGCCGCGUGUGUGAAGAAGGUCUGCGGAUUGUAAAGCACUUUAAGUUGGGAGGAAGGGCAGUAAGUUAAUACCUUGCUGUUUUGACGGUACCAACAGAAUAAGCACCGGCUAACUUCGUG
rnacentral:rRNA from 1 species